GAUGAAGAACGCAGCGAAAUGCGAUAAGUAAUGUGAAUUGCAGAAUUCAGUGAAUCAUCGAAUCUUUGAACGCACAUUGCGCCCGCCAGCAUUCUGGCGGGCAUGCCUGUUCGAGCGUCAUUUCAACCCUCGAGCCCCCCCGGGGGCCUCGGUGUUGGGGGACGGCACACCAGCCGCCCCCGAAAUGCAGUGGCGACCCCGCCGCAGCCUCCCCUGCGUAGUAGCACACACCUCGCACCGGAGCGCGGAGGCGGUCACGCCGUAAAACGCCCAACUUUCUUAGAGUUGACCUCGGAUCAGGUAGGAAUACCCGCUGAACUUAAGCAUAUCAAAGCGGAGGA
rnacentral:misc_RNA from 1 species